CGACAACAAGCGUUGUCCCCCGCUUGUCCUUCAUUCACACUUUGCCGCCCCGCCCCAGGUGACCAGAACAGAUUUCCGGGAGCGGCCGGAUCACACCGACGAGGGAUCCCUUCCCACUUGCUGGCAGGCUGGCAGCAGUGAAAAGGCCUAAGGCAGACCAGCGGGGUCACACUCGGCUCAGUCCAGCCCAGCCACUGCACUGCCAGUUCCCCUCCUGAAGAUCGUGGGUUCUAAUUCCGGCUCCGCAACGUGUCUGCUGUGUGACCCUGGGCCACGUUGCUUACGUAGUGGUGAAAAUACCAAAGGAGGUUCUCCUGACAAUGCCCACUGCCUGCCUGUCUGGAUCGAACAUAACGCGGUGUCAGAAUAACCGGCCGUGCACUUGUGCGGAGUGCUGAACAAGGGGUAAGUUCUACCCAGUCGUGUGUUCCUUAGUGUGCUGCCCCGUGGGAACACAACCCCAGUGUUAUAAGAGGACCAGGUGUUCUAGUACUCUUGAAUGUAACAACCGGGGGAUUUGCAUUUGUCAGCCUUAUUUUAUUGGCAUUUAAUAAUUGUGGUUUUUAAGUGCUUAUUAUGUGCCAAGCACUGUACUCAGCACUGGGGUAGAU